AUUCAAACACUGGUUCUCAUAUGAUUACCAAAGUUAAGCAAUGUCGAGCUCGGUCAAUACCAAGAUGGGUAACUGCUUGGGAAUUGCAUGUGCGGUAAG